rnacentral:rRNA from 1 species
UGCCAGCAGCCGCGGUAAUACGCAGGGUGCAAGCGUUAUCCAGAAUCACUGGGUUUAAAGGGUGCGCAGGCGGUUCGAUAAGUCAGUGGUGAAAGCCUACAGCUUAACUGUAGAAUUGCCCUUGAUACUGUCGGACUAGAAUAAGGUUGAGGUUAGCGGAAUGUGACAUGUAGCGGUGAAAUGCAUAGAUAUAUCAUAGAACACCAAUUGCGAAGGCAGCUAGCUGGGCCUUAAUUGACGCUCAGGCAAGAACGCAUGGGGAGCGAACAGGAUUAGAUA